AACACCCCAGGAGCAUCGUUACUGUCCAGUUCUCCGUCCCUGAGUCUUCUCUCCCCAUCGUUCACCUCCUCUGGGGAGACGCUGGCACCAGGGACCCUGAGCAUCUUGCCCAGUAUUGUCCCAGUGCACACUUUCAGCUUCCCCAUCCUCUCGUUCAACUCAGACUCUAAAGCAGGAGGGAGUAAAGAUGCAGUCGUGACGGGGCCUGCACCAGGGACGCUCCAUCAUGGCCUUGCCCACAGUAUUUUUGCUGGGUUGCACGCUAGCGCCCACCACACAACACAGCUCCCACAACCCACUCAGUCUACCCACUUACAGCAAAGUCUGCAAGAUGGCAGUCAAAUCCAUGGAGAGAACUCAAAUGCACAGCGAAAACUGCAGUGAUGCUUCUUGCAGAAUGAACAUGGAUUCUGGUAACUGUACCAUGGACUAUUACAUAACCGAAUGGGUUUUAGAUGCUCAUUCUUUAAAAUGACUGUCAUCUAACAUUGCAGAAUACUUUUUUUCCUACUUUGUCAACUUCUCUGAAGAAGACAGGAGAGUAAACGUGAGCCUUGUUCUUACUGUAGGAAAUAAGACACAGAUAUGCAGUCAAAAUACUAAAACUGUUGUGCUUUUUAAAAUGUUCUUUAUGUAUAUUACAAGGACCAGAAUAUUGUAAGGCUGCUUGUAAUGAGAAUAAAUUGAUCAAUAACGUUUGAAGAUUUAUAAAUGAAGUGUCAGAUAGUGUAAGAGAAUAAUAUCUGGUGUUUCGCAGUACAGCUAUGGUCACAAGUUUAGCAUCACCCUAUAGAAUUAACUCAUUGUGUUUUAUAAAGUCCAAUAAAUCCUGCUGAGUAAUAUUAAGUUAACAUAUUGAAUUGCACACUGCUUUGUAAUUUUCCAUAUAUAAUGGAAAACUGACAACUUUAAAAA